GAUCAUGGCUCAGGAUGAACGCUAGCUACAGGCUUAACACAUGCAAGUCGAGGGAAACGAGUAGACGAAAGCUUGCUUUUUCUAGGCGUCGACCGGCGGACGGGUGAGUAACGCGUGAGGAACCUGCCUCGGAGUGGGGAAUAACACAACGAAAGCUGUGCUUAAUACCGCAUAAUGCAGCUGGGUCGCAUGACUCUGGCUGCCAAAGAUUUAUCGCUCUGAGAUGGCCUCGCGUCUGAUUAGCUGGUUGCGGGUAAGGCCCACCAAGGCGACGAUCAGUAGCCGGACUGAGAGGUUGGCCGGCCACAUUGGGACUGAGACACGGCCCAGACUCCUACGGGAGGCAGCAGUGGGGAAUAUUGGGCAAUGGGCGCAAGCCUGACCCAGCAACGCCGCGUGAAGGAAGAAGGCCCUCGGGUUGUAAACUUCUUUUGUCAGGGACGAAGCAAGUGACGGUACCUGACGAAUAAGCCACGGCUAACUACGUG
rnacentral:rRNA from 1 species